UACGGAGGGUGCAAGCGUUAUCCGGAUUCACUGGGUUUAAAGGGUGCGUAGGAGGGCAGGUAAGUCAGUGGUGAAAUCUUCGAGCUUAACUCGGAAACUGCCGUUGAUACUAUCUGUCUUGAAUACCGUGGAGAUGAGCGGAAUAUGUCAUGUAGCGGUGAAAUGCUUAGAUAUGACAUAGAACACCAAUUGCGAAGGCAGCUCGUUACACGAAUAUUGACUCUGAGGCACGAAAGCGUGGGGAUCAAAC
rnacentral:rRNA from 2 species